rnacentral:tRNA from 1 species
GGGGCCGUAGCUCAUCAGGGAGAGCGCCACGUUCGCAACGUGGAGGUAGUGGGUUCGAGUCCCAUCGGCUCCACCA